GUGAGGCCCUGAUUUUGAUCUUUCACAAAACCAAGGAGCAGGGUGCGGGCUACAACCUUGAGAACCUGCAGGAGCUACGCCCACACGGGCCUUGGCUGGCAUGACAUUGGACACCCUCCCAGGGGGGCCCCCGGCCUGGGGAAGAGCCUCCUCUCUGCCUGGGAGCCUCAAGGUGUGCAGAGGAGGGAGUUGGCUGGAGCCAGAUGUGUGAAGGCAAUCAGUGUUUCUCUGCAAGGUGACGGUGGCGUGGGGCAGGCAGACACAGGACCAGCAUCCUGGCAGGCAGGGUUCUUGGAUGGCUGGUGGGGAAGACAGGCUGGGAGACUGUCAAUUCAUCGUUCCCCCUCUCCAGGUGGAGGCAUGAAAUUAGAUCAAAGCAUCUUGACUUGGAUAUCUUUGUGUGCGUCUUGGGGCCCUUUGAAGGGUGUCUGUGGGGUUUCCGUGAGGCCAAGGACAGAGGUUCCUUCUCACAAGGAUAGUGUUUACUUUCACAUGGACAGCCCAGACCACCUGGAACCAAGUGCACAGAAGCCCCACCAUCUCCGGGCCUCCCGGGUGUGAUGGGCAAGGGGUCCAAGUCCGCAGGAGCUCCGAGGCUCUUUGUGCUUGAAUCCGCCCCUUGCUGGCUUCAGCCUCUUCCCAGCCUGCCACCCUCCCUGGGUGCUCUCCGGAUCCCCAGGCGCCAGUGUCUCCCAUGCUGCCUCCAGCUGCCCCCUGCCUCCUGAGCUGCCAACUUGGGUGCCUCACAGGAAUCCCCAAACUGCCCUGAAGCCUGACCUCUCUCAGUGCUCCCUGUCUUGGUGUAGGGCAUCGCCUGCCAGUCAGUUAUUUCUAAGCCAGAAAUCUGUGCGUGGCCUAACAGCCCCUCUGCCCUCCACACCAGUGACCACCUCCUAGGAGUGGCUUCCUCAACACCUUGCCACCCUUGACACUGUCACUGUCACCUGUGCCCUGGCAGGCCGCCUGCUCCCCAAGUAGCUCCCUACUGCACUCCCCUGCCCCUCUCAGCCCUUCUUGCAAAGUGCCUCUGGGCCAGGUGCAGGGGCUCACGCCUAUAAUCCCAGCACUUUGGGAGGCUAAGGCAGGUGGAUCACUUGAGGUCAGGAGUUCGAGACCAUCCUGGCCAACAUGGCAAAACCCUGUCUCUACUAAAAAUACAAAAAUUAGCCGGGCGUAGUGGUGCACGCCUGUAAUCUCAGCUACUUGGGAUGCUGAGGCAGGAGAAUUGCUUGAACCCGGGAGGCGGAGGUUGCAGUGAGUGGAGAUCAAGCCAUUGCACUCCAGCUGGAGCGAUAGAGCAAGACUCUUAUCUCGAACAAAAUUAAAACAUGAAAAUAAAAACACCUCUG
rnacentral:lncRNA from 1 species